rnacentral:rRNA from 1 species
CAGCCGCCGCGGUAAUACGGAGGGUGCAAGCGUUAGUCGGAAUUACUGGGCGUAAAGCGUGCGUAGGCGGUUCGUUAAGUCUGUCGUGAAAUCCCCGGGCUCAACCUGGGAAUGGCGAUGGAGACUGCAAGGCUAGAAUCUGGCAGAGGGGGGUAGAAUUCCACGUGUAGCAGUGAAAUGCGUAGAUAUGUGGAGGAACACCGAUGGCGAAGGCAGCCCCCUGGGCUAAGAUUGACGCUCAUGCACGAAAGCGUGGGGAGCAAACAGGAUUAGAUACCCGCGUAGUCCCUGUCUCUUAUAC